CUUUGUUAAUUUUAUAAUAAAUUAAUUUUUCUUCAUCAAUUUUUUUGAAAUUGAAAUGUUUGCUUAAAUAAUUUUGGCCAUGCCACUUGCCGAUCGUUGGGUUUAUACAAUUUAUUGGUUUCUGUUAAUCACUUUUGUUGACUGUUGUCUCUUGUAAGUGCUUGCCUGUGAUUCAGUUUUGUUCAAGUAAUGUUCAACCAAAGGGAGAUUGGAUUUAGAGUCUGAUAACGACUUUUUUCCUGAAAACAAUUGUAAAUGUAACUUAAUUUACUGGGCACUUAUUGCCAGCUGAUUCGUAAUCUUAAUGCGACUACAUGAACAAGACUGAAACCAUUGUGUAAAUUGGAUCUUAUUUAUUUGAGUGGAUAUUUUGUGUCACAAAAAUGUUAUAAUCUCUCUCUAAGAAACUGAUAGUCAAUUGGGAGAAAUUCAUUAAAGAUGCUGUCGAAGAAUAGAACUACAGAAACAUAAUCAUUAUUAUCAUCAAUGGAAAGGAUGAAAAGAAAGAAUUACUUGUUGAAUGAAGGAAACUAAAAUCUUCAGGAAUGAAUAAGAAGCCAGAGAAGGAGAAAAGGCUAAAGAAUGGGAAACCAAUCUGAUACAAUUUACGUAUAUUUUUUUCAUUAUUCAAAAAAAAGGUGGAUGAAUAGUGCUGGAAAGCCAUCAACAAGCAGAUUCUGAAGACCUAGUUAUCUCCAUCAUCAGCAAUGGUACCAACAAUAAGAGGUUGGAAAGAAGUAAAAAGUAGGAGUAAUAAGAAUGAUGAUAAAGGUAUUAAACUCGAAAACUGUUUUGUCAAGAUACAAUGGUGUCAACAACUGAACCAACAAAAGCAUACUAAAGAAAGAAGGAAACUGAAAAGCAAAGAGUAAAGUCAAGUCAACAUUCAUGUGGCCAAAAAGAAAGAAAAUGAAAGGCAUGAUGAAAGGAAAGAUCUUUUGCUUCUCAAAUUCACUUUUUCCAUUUAGUGGAUCAAUGAAAUAUUCAUAAGCAAGUCAAAGCAGAAUCUUUUUGCUUAUUUUCCAUCAAGGGAAAAUCUGUUUUUUUUUGUGCUGCUUCUUUCCAGCUUACAAAAUGCUGUAUCUAACUUGAAAAGGAGAGUGGGAAUAGACGCAAAACUCGAGCCAAGUCAAGGAGCAAAUGUCAAAAUGAAAUUGGAAUCAGCUUUAUAUAAAGUUGGAAUAUUUCCCACACAUUUACACAUAUGCUGGAGAUUUAGCUAUUAGACCGAAUUUUCAUGUGAUGAGUUGAGUUUCAAGUGCUAAUGGAUCCAUGAAUAAUAGAAUCAAUUCAACGAGACGAGAUUUGCCGAGGGCAAGGAAGUCACAAUUUGGAUCAAGAAAAGAAGAUGAUAUCGAUAAAAUAGUUAAACUCAAAAUGAUUAUACCUGAUGUUCAUAAGUUGCUGUUAAGCUUUUAUAUUAUUCUCAAUCUAAUGUGUGACAAGGACCUGAAAAGAGGGAAUGGAAAGACCAGGGUGGAAAGCUAAUGUUUAAUAUUAUGAUCUUGAUGAUGUUUCUUUAAUACAUCAAGUUCAAGUUUAUCUUCUCCAUGAAAUAUGGAAUAAAUAAAGGCUGGAAAUGUGUAUCAAUCGCUUUAAUUUCAGCCUUAUGGAAAUUACAUUUGGAUGGGAAAAAGUUGCUUGUUCAUAUGCCAUAAUUAUAUUUCCCUGACACAAUUUCAAUUCUAAUUGUUAAAUAUAUCAGUAGAAAAGAUUGUGAUGAUAUCAUCUCUACAUUUACUGACGAGAAGCUCAUCGAUUUCAUGGAACAAUGCAAACUGACAAUGGCGAAAAGCAAAAGAAAUGUUAUUCAACUUUAAUUUUUCAAUCAAAAUUGAUUGAAAUUUCCAUCGAUCUUUAUUGAUUAUGAAUAUAUUCAUAUGUUAUCAUUAGUCACCAAAUAGGUCUAAAAUUGAGCUAUUGAUCAACAUUCACCAAGUUUAUCUAUAUCAAUUGACUUGUAAUGUAUUGACUGAAUCUUCUAUCUCAUCCUGAUGUUUCCAUUACCUUCAAUAUUUAUCUUGCUUCCUUCCCUGCCAUCAUUAUCAUCAUCUUUCACAUCAUCAUUCAGAUAGACUCUUAAGAUCAUAAGUUUCACCUAAUAAUUAAUGAUAAUUGAUAAUACAUUGACUGAAGCUCAACUUUUUCACUUCUAACCAUUACUGACAUUCACUUAAGUUACUUUUUAUUUAUCUUGACCUUACUCGAACAGGUUUCAUUUCAUCAUCUUACAGUUUUCCAACUUCACCAUUAUCAUCAUCUUUCAUUCAAAAAUUUUUCUCUCUUCUCAAAUAACAUGGAUUCUAACCUAUCAAAGAACGGUAUUGAUCUUGUUUGGAAAAGUGUUUGCGUCUCUGUUCACUAAUUCUGAUACAGAUUAGAAGACAAAAUUCAAAAGUUCUAUAAUCAGUUUAUCCUUCCUUUAUUAUUUCACUCCAUCUCUUGACCUGAUAACUUGAGUUAUUAUGUAUUUCCUUCAUCUAAUCAUUUUCUUUUCUUUUUUCAUCAUCACAGUUAUGGCAGAAAGAGUUUCACGGAUCAAUGAAGCAUAUUGAAAAAUACCUGUUGAUACAAAAUAAAGACGAUUCAUUUCUUCACCUUUCAUAAACAGACUAAACAAGGCUGAUGUAUAGCUUCAUCGGGAAAACAUAUUUUGCCGAGAAAAAAAUUCUUCAUCCUGACAAUCAUGAAAAGACAAUUUAGUUGAGAAACAAUUGUUUAUUGAAGUGAUUUGAAGUGGCAAGAUGAAAAGUUGAGGAAAAUUGUUCACUAUUGUUACCAAUGGUUACAAAACUGGUUAAAUAAUAGAGAAUGAAUUUGGAUGAACAAGAUUCUGUUGAUGAAAGGAAUCUGCAAAUACUGAAAGCGACCAUGAAAAUCUCACAGGAGAUUAGAUAAAAUGUAUUAUAACGACGUUACAAGACAAAAAAUAAGAGAUGAAAAAGAAAAAAAUUGGUUUCACUCAUCUUUUCUGCAUCAAUCCCUUCACGUCUUUGUUAGAAGUUAAGCAAGAGGAAAAGAUUUUCACUUUUACGAUGAAAUAAAACUUACGUCAGGGAAUCAUUAAAACAUAAAUGAUUGGUUAUCUCAACUUUUAUGGUGUAAAAACAGUGUUUAACAACUUGCUUUUAUGGGACCAAAACUCUGAGAUUUAGGAAACAUUAAACAACAACAAGACCAAUACCAGUAAAUAUCAACAAUAAGUGAAUGGAUAUCCAACAAGGAAGCUCAUGGUAAUAUUGUUAAAUGUGUUACUCUCUUCCUGAUUUUAGGAAUCAAAUGAUAUCUUCCCUGAUUUAAGAUGCGGAUUCAAAGUUGAAUUGGCUGUUACAAUAUGUUCAUUGAUGAGCCUAACAAGACAUUAGCAAGCAAAAGCCAUCUAACCAAAGCUAACAGAUUCCAGUGUUUGUACCCUUAAUCAAUAAACAAACUCACAUCAGGAUGAUAAUUGUGUUAAAUAAUGCAAUCAAUUCUCAUUCCAAGUAUGAUCACGAUGUAAUCUAAUUUUAAACGCCAAUUAUCAUAAUUCACAAGUCAAGAUAAGCCUGGAACUUGGAUGAUUGAUUAUGGAUGCAGUAAUUAUGGAUUAAAGGCAAAUUGCACUUCUAUUAUUGGCCAAUGAAGAGUAUUUCUUGAUAUAGAUGCUGGCUAUUUUCUUGGAUCAAACUUCAUUUUCUUCUGCAGAUAUUCAGUCCAAUUAUCUGUACAAAUUGUGACUCUUCAUCUUUAAUCUAAUUCAAACCAGAUUGUUUAACCUGAAACGAGCUACUUUUCCAGUUGUAAAUCAAGGCUAAGUAAUGUCAAAAGGGUUCGCUUGGUUAAAUGACAAUCUGGUGACAAGAAAUGGUGAAACAUCGAUACAGCAAACUGGCUUUUCAAAUGUUUAAUGGAGAUAAAAUUCCGAGUCCAGUUGAUAUGGACUUGAAAGAAUUGUUGAUUAUAUUAUUCACAGACCAGGCAAAUACCACAUUUAGUUGAAUCUGUACAUGUCCAUCAUUACCAGUAACAGACAUUUAGUCAAUUGGGUUAGCUCAAGUUGAUCUUGACUGUUCUUUCAUGAUAAAUGUUAAAUUGAUGGAAAACACAGAAAAGGUGAAGACAACAUUCGAUUCAUAGCUGUUGUAACAAUAUUAUCAGCUAUCAGCAUGAAAAUGGAUUAAUCAAUGAAUGUCGAAGCAAAAAGGAAUGAACAAGAAAAAAGAGAAAAAUGUUUCCAAUUUUUGCUCUUAUGGAGUUAACAUAAAGACAACCUACCUUUGGCUAAUCGAUUUAGGACCAUGUCAAUUAGACAAUAGGUACCCGUUCGACCUAUUCCAUCACUGGUUAUUCAUCAUUAUUGUGAAAAUGGUUUUCAUGAUGACCCAAAAGGCAAGGAACCACGAAUAAGGAAAAAGAAGAAAGAAAAUAAAAAUCAAUAUCAACAUUAAUCGAUUGUUUUUUUUCAGUUUUCCAACAUUCAACAUUUCAAGGGUUAUAUCUUACCUGCAGUGUACAACAAUUGGACAUGAUCGACCUCGGUAUGACUUGUUGACUUUCCUGUGGAAAAAUUAAAGCAACAAAGUGAAGAUAUUACUUGAAAGAAGACCCAUGAGAUUGGAUAAAAAAUAAUGGUUCAACUUUGCUCUUACCUUCGAAACUCUAGUAGUGAUCUUGCAUUGGGUGGAACACCAUUCU